rnacentral:rRNA from 1 species
CAGCAGCCACGGUAAUACGAGGGGAGCUAGCGUUGUUCGGAAUUACAGGGCGUAAAGCGCGCGUAGGCGGCUUUUUAAGUCAGAGGUGAAAGCCCGGGGCUCAACCCCGGAAUUGCCUUUGAAACUGGAAAGCUAGAAUCUUGGAGAGGUCAGUGGAAUUCCGAGUGUAGAGGUGAAAUUCGUAGAUAUUCGGAAGAACACCAGUGGCGAAGGCGACUGACUGGACAAGUAUUGACGCUGAGGUGCGAAAGCGUGGGGAGCAAACAGGAUUAGAUACCCCCGUAGUCCCUGUCUCUUAUAC